GUACCCUGGUAGUCCACGCUGUAAACGAUGUCGACUUGGAGGUUGUUCCCUUGAGGAGUGGCUUCCGGAGCUAACGCGUUAAGUCGACCGCCUGGGGAGUACGGCCGCAAGGUUAAAACUCAAAUGAAUUGACGGGGGCCCGCACAAGCGGUGGAGCAUGUGGUUUAAUUCGAUGCAACGCGAAGAACCUUACCUACUCUUGACAUCCAGAGAACUUAGCAGAGAUGCUUUGGUGCCUUCGGGAACUGUGAGACAGGUGCUGCAUGGCUGUCGUCAGCUCGUGUUGUGAAAUGUUGGGUUAAGUCCCGCAACGAGCGCAACCCUUAUCCUUUGUUGCCAGCGGUUCGGUCGGGAACUCAAAGGAGACUGCCAGUGAUAAACUGGAGGAAGGUGGGGAUGACGUCAAGUCAUCAUGGCCCUUACGAGUAGGGCUACACACGUGCUACAAUGGCAUAUACAAAGAGAAGCGACCUCGCGAGAGCAAGCGGACCUCAUAAAGUAUGUCGUAGUCCGGAUUGGAGUCUGCAACUCGACUCCAUGAAGUCGGAAUCGCUAGUAAUCGUGGAUCAGAAUGCCACGGUGAAUACGUUCCCGGGCCUUGUACACACCGCCCGUCACACCAUGGGAGUGGGUUGCAAAAGAAGUAGGUAGCUUAACCUUCGGGAGGGCGCU
rnacentral:rRNA from 1 species